AGUGAACGCUGGCGGUAGGCCUAACACAUGCAAGUCGAACGGCAGCACAGUAAGAGCUUGCUCUUACGGGUGGCGAGUGGCGGACGGGUGAGGAAUACAUCGGAAUCUACUUUUUCGUGGGGGAUAACGUAUGGAAACUUACGCUAAUACCGCACACGACCUACGGGUGAAAGCAGGGGAUCUUCUGACCUUGCGCGAUUGAAUGAGCCGAUGUCGGAUUAGCUAGUUGGCGGGGUAAAGGCCCACCAAGGCGACGAUCCGUAGCUGGUCUGAGAGGAUGAUCAGCCACACUGGAACUGAGACACGGUACAGACUCCUACGGGAGGCAGCAGUGGGGAAUAUUGGACAAAGGGCGCAAGCCUGAUCCAGCCAUACCGCGUGGGUGAAGAAGGCCUUCGGGUUGUAAAGCCCUUUUGUUGGGAAAGAAAAGCAGCAGGUUAAUACCCCGCUGUUCUGACGGUACCCAAAGAAUAAGCACCGGCUAACUUCGUG
rnacentral:rRNA from 1 species